UUUUACGGACGUUCCAGAGAUAUGUGGGCGGAGCUCAGCAUUUCAGUACGUGAUUGGGCUCUUAGAACAACCAAUGAAAUCGCUAGGCGACCGUAUAAAUAGAACUGACAAACCGAACUUGUGUCACUCUUUGUUCAGUCACUGUCGACAAACAAAGUUUAUUUUACUUAUUUUACUUAUUAAGAAAGUUCAAUUCAGUCUGAUUAAAAAAUGACAGGUCGUGGUAAAGGAGGCAAAGGUUUGGGAAAAGGUGGUGCCAAGCGCCAUCGUAAAGUUUUGCGUGACAACAUUCAGGGCAUCACCAAGCCUGCCAUCCGCCGUCUUGCUCGCCGUGGAGGUGUCAAACGUAUCUCUGGUCUGAUUUACGAAGAAACCCGUGGUGUGCUGAAAGUAUUCCUCGAAAACGUCAUCCGAGAUGCUGUAACGUACACUGAACAUGCCAAGAGGAAGACAGUUACAGCCAUGGAUGUCGUCUAUGCUCUGAAACGUCAGGGCCGCACUCUGUACGGUUUCGGUGGUUAAGCAGUUUGCAAGGAAGAACACGACAAUACGACACAAUCCCCAAAUUAUUAAUCCAAGAUGGCGACCGACAUUUUUAUCCAACGUGCUUUCUCAUCCUUUCUUACGGAUCCGCUGCAGCCAUGACAUCAAACGGCAGUCGAGCGAAUCAAGAAAUUCAAUUGCCCUGAUUCAUUUCUACACAAUAUCUUCAUUUCUACACAAAAUCUUUCAUUUCACACGUUUUAAUUUCCACUUGUACUCGAUCUUUGAUGUCCAAUUCGAAUAAUGUAUUUCGGUAUCCGUCUUAAGGUGAUUCGGCUGUUUGUUUCACCCAAAAUACAAGCCUUAAGCUGUAAA